rnacentral:tRNA from 1 species
GCCCUUGUAGUUCAAUGGACAGAACGGAAGUUUCCUAAACUUUAAAUGGCGGUUCGAUUCCGCCCGAGGGUA